AAGCCAGGACCAGGCAGGCUAGCAAAGAAGAGGAAGUGAAGCCAGGGUGUGUCUGCAGCUAGCUCUAGGCAGCUUUGGAGUCAUGUGCUUUCUGCCCGGCCGGCCUCUAGAUGCUGAAUCAACCCCACCUGGUUCCGCGUCUACCUCACCUCGCCUCUUGUGGCAUUCCUGCUGUCUGGCAGAGCUAACCUUUGCUGAGCAAGAAAGGCCGAAAAGCAGCAAUGGUAACCCUAACAAGACAACACAUACGAACAGUCUGAGAAUGAUGCUUGAGAGGAACAAUUCAGGUCAAGGACUGAGACAGCAGGUCAUACGUUUGAACUCAUGUGGAUUCCCUACCUCCUGGCCCCUGUCCUGCACAGGACACGACUCACUGUCUGCUUCUGAGAAUGAUCCAGAUUCGUCACUGGAAUUGGUUCCGUAAGACUGCUCACAUUUAAUUUGGGGUCGGACUUGGUUGUACAUGCCAUCUCCCAUCAGGCCCGGUUCCUGAUGUUCUGUGGCAAGGAAUCUGGCUCCCUGGGAACAGGGUGAGGAGGAGAACUCACAGAGAGGGAGGCUGCAGGGGGAGCCCCCGCUCCCAUCCUCUGCAUAGGAAUAGGAGGAGCAGGAGCUGGAGGUCCUGGUUCUGGUCUCUAGUGGAGGUGAGCGAGGACAGACUUUGAUUGGCACCGGGCAGCUGGUGUUGGGCCGUAUCCUGCCUGGCAAGUGGUCAGCCAUCAGUCCGCUGUGGGAGUAGGCCUGUGAGCUGGGGAGGGACUGGCCAGUUCCUACCCAUAGACUUUUUGGCACCGGCUCGGAGAGGUCUUUGUCCAAAUUGCUCACCCCAGAAUACAAAUGCACUGGAGCGCUCACUUGGUCACACGUGCUCGAGGAGAAGAUGACACUCCUCCGGUCCAGCUCUCCCUCCUGUUUGCAGAGAGCCUCUGUCCCAGGCCCCCUGAGCGGCGACCCCAUUGUGAAGUUGGACACAUCCUUCUGGCCCACGUGGGGCUGUCCAUAAUUCCCCGUGAAAGGGGUGUAGUCAGUUUUAAGGUCACCCUGAGAGAUCCCCUUGUUAAAAGGGCACGCCGAACUCCUGACAAAGUGUUGCUGAGAUGUACCGGGCAGGCCAGACGACUCCACACCUUUUGCUAUACUGAACAGAGACCGCAGACAGGAAGGUGAGGACACACUCCUGGAUCUGUCCAGGCAGGUGGCUCCGGUAGGGGUACUGGGGGUAGGGGUAGGGCUGGGCUGUUUCCGGUCCAUCUCAACAUCCCCUGGUCUGUCUUUGAUGUCAGUUUCAUCUCCAGACAGGCAGAGUGUGACGCUCUCCUCCUCGGUCUCUUCACUGGGUGGCUCACUCUUAAUCUGUCCCCUGGAGAGCCCUGGUUUGAGGCUAUUGCCUGGGCUGUCUUCACUGAACGUGUUUGCAAACCCUGAGGUACUGUGUGAGGACGCACUGUAGACAUUCUUGGUACAUGCAAGCUGGUACUUCUUGUAUCUAGGGUACUGUGUCAAUGCAUCCUUUUCUAAGUUUUCCUUGGUGUCUGUGGGUACCUCAGACUCAGGUAGCAAGGCUUCCUUCUCUGCUACGGGAAUGGCAGCGGCCUCAAAGCUGAUGGGGUCUGUGGGGCAAGCCAUCUUCGCUGUCUCUGAGUCCAUCGUCUCUUCCUCCUCCUCCUCUUCUCCUGCAGAGUUCCCAUGAUCCUCUUGGGGGCGCUGGCACGCGCUGUCCUUCCGGCACACAAACAGGCCAUCCUCGCUGUUCAGGAGCUGUGUCUGCAGGAAGCUGAAGCAGGAGUCCUCCAAAUUGUGCAUGCGUAGGAACUCAGCACAGCGGAUGACCUCGCGGAUGUUCUCUCUGCUGAGUAACAGCUUGGCAGUGUAGGCAAACUGGAGCAGUGGCCCAAAGCCCCUGGCCGUGACCUGCAAAACAAACAGGGAAAUUGCCAACGUUACCAUCAGCACUGUUAUUGUCCUGAAUUUCUCAACCAAAGCAAGAUAACCAGACAGUGCUAAUGCCCUGGAAUAAAAACCGCAAAGGAGCGGUUAAUCUCGUCCUGGGUCA